rnacentral:rRNA from 1 species
ACCUACGGGGGGCAGCAGUAGGGAAUCUUCCACAAUGGGCGAAAGCCUGAUGGAGCAACGCCGCGUGGGUGAAGAAGGUCUUCGGAUCGUAAAACCCUGUUGUUAGAGAAGAAAGUGCGUGAGAGUAACUGUUCACGUUUCGACGGUAUCUAACCAGAAAGCCACGGCUAACUACGUGCCAGCAGCCGCGGUAAUACGUAGGUGGCAAGCGUUAUCCGGAUUUAUUGGGCGUAAAGGGAACGCAGGCGGUCUUUUACGUCUGAUGUGAAGGCUUUCGGCUUAACCGGAGUAGUGCAUUGGAAACU